UACAGAGGGUGCGAGCGUUAAUCGGAUUUACUGGGCGUAAAGGGCGCGUAGGCGGUUAUAUGAGUGGGAUGUGAAAGCCCCGGGCUUAACCUGGGAAGAGCAUUGCAAACGAUAUGACUGGAGUAGUUGAGAGGGUGAUGGAAUUUCCGGUGUAGCGGUGAAAUGCGUAGAGAUCGGAAGGAACGUCAAUGGCGAAGGCAGUCACCUGGCAACAUACUGACGCUGAGGCGCGAGAGCGUGGGUAGCGAACAGG
rnacentral:rRNA from 1 species